rnacentral:rRNA from 1 species
UACGUAGGGGGCUAGCGUUGUCCGGAAUUAUUGGGCGUAAAGGGCGCGUAGGCGGCCAUGCGUGUCUUCCGUGAAAUCCCUCGGCUUAACCGAGGACGUGCGGAAGAAACUGCAAGGCUCGAGUCCGGAAGAGGGGGGCGGAAUUCCCAGUGUAGCGGUGAAAUGCGUAGAUAUUGGGAGGAACACCAGUGGCGAAGGCGGUCCCCUGGGCCGGAACUGACGCUGAGGCGCGAAAGCGUGGGGAGCGAACGGG